rnacentral:rRNA from 1 species
AUUGAACGCUGGCGGCAGGCUUAACACAUGCAAGUCGAACGAGUGGCGGACGGGUGAGUAAUGCUUGGGAAUCUCGCUUAUGGAGGGGGAUAACUACGGGAAACUGUACCUAAUACCCCGUACCCUAGGUUGAGCACAAGUGUGAUUGGGUAUUGGGUGGGGUAAAGGCUCACCAAGCCGACGAUCUCUAGCUGGUCUGAGAGGAUGACCGGCCACACGGGGACUGAGACACGGCCCAGACUCCUACGGGAGGCAGAAGAGGGGAACAUCGGGAAAUGGGGGCAACCUGACGCAGCCAUGCCGGGUGAAGGAAGAAGGCCUUCGGGUUGUAAAGUUCUUUCGGUAGGGAGGCGUUAACUAAAGAAGAAGCACCGGCUAACUCCGUGCCAGCAGCCGCGGUAAUUC